UUAUAGCCCCGGUAGUAGCGGCAUCCUUUUACUCCUUUCUUUAAGGAGUAAAAGAUAAAGCGGAUAACGGGAAUAGCU
rnacentral:sRNA from 1 species